ensembl:lincRNA
GUCUCCGUGCAUGGUCUCUCUUGGUAUUCUGUAAUUUAAAUUGAAUGUUGCUCUAAGUGUAUAAACAGUACCCUUAUAAUAUUAUGUACCAAAGGAAAAUAAGAAUACUAGCAAGAUAAAAUUAACUGCCAGCUUCUAUCCAACAUGUUUAGGAUGACAACAGCACAAGGAAUAUGGUAUCUGGCAUAUGAGGGAGCACCCUGAACAGUGUUCAGGAGGGACUGCCUCAUGUAGCUUUUCUUUUCUGCUCUUCUAAGCUUGUUGAUUAUUUUUCAAGUCAUAAAAUAAAUCCCCAAACUCUUCCCACAGGCUUCCUGUUAUGGCAAUGGAAAGGAUUCUAGGAAAGGAUGCCAACAGGCCAGAUGUCAUCUUUUUUGGUGGGCUGUACACAUCAGACUGGACUUGCCUUAAAUGAGAUUCAGACAAUCCUUUUUGCCAAAUGCCCAACAAGAAAGGAGCAGUUAUGCAGAACUUGUGGUAGAAGGAGGGAAACUGAGGACCUUAGACAUCUCCGUCUGAUGAGUAACUGCUACCAGUCACAGCUUGGAGAGCUGGACACUUCACCACUCAGGUCAACAGAUGUCUGAAAAUAACAGCAAGAAAGAAAUGAAAAAGAAUCUCCCACAGAGGUAUGUUAUAUCAUUUCCCCGCAAGUCUUUUAACACAGGGUGGAUGAACAGCUCUCUAGCAUUAUGUGAAUGGGAGGCUGCCUAAAGGAAGGGAAAUGGGUUGGAUAAUUUGGGGACUCCCUCAGCUAAUUUAGAAAAUUAUCUGUUUUUUCAAUGGUGUGGGUUCUUGGAAGAAAAUGAAGAGCAUUGGGAAGAAUCCUCAAGAGAUUGCAAGCUUUGAUCAAGUGUGCUCCUAAAGGGAAACAUUAAAGACAGUCUUUAAAACAAACAAAAAACAAAUAAAAAGCCUAUUCUGAAAGUCCAUAUUAAAUUCUUAUUUAUAGAUACUAAUAGAUGGUAGCUCAUGGAGUUAGGGGCAAAGAGAGGUGCUUAGGAAAGGUCUGCUUCUAUCAGAAAAGGUAUGAUUUGAAAUAUUAUAAUUUAAUUUUAACCUAAUGCUCUUUUUGCAAAUAUCUUCCACCACCUUCUCUAAACUCAGAGCUCCCUAGUAUAAACAGUUUUCUGUGCUUGUUAUAGUAGAGUUACCUCAGGUCUCCAGGUCUCACUGGCCCAGGGAGGACAACAAAGCCAUUGCCAAACAAAGGUACAGUAAUGCCCAGAAUGCUCAUUGUAUUAAAUUCCUUCCAUCUGAUUAAGAGGACAUUGGGGAGUCUCCUUUGUCCUCCUGAAAACCAUGAUGCUCUAUGCCCAUGCUGUAUGGAAUGUAUUAUUUUCUCUUUAAUUCCUAAUACGCUGUUCCCUGAUCACUGCAUUGGCAGCCUUGAGCUCUAAGUUUUCUUUCCUAGAGCUUUUAAAAUGUUUAUUUAUUUGACCCAAACUUUACUAGAGAUUCUAAUUCCAGAUUAAGGGCCUUGACUUCAGUAACCAGAUUCAACAGAUAAAAUACUGGAUCCCCCAUUAAAUUUGAAUUUUAGGUAAACAUUGACU